rnacentral:rRNA from 1 species
GACGUGCUAAUCUGCGAUAAGCGUCGGUAAGGUGAUAUGAACCGUUAUAACCGGCGAUUUCCGAAUGGGGAAACCCAGUGUGAUUCGUCACACUAUCAUUAACUGAAUCCAUAGGUUAAUGAGGCGAACCGGGGGAACUGAAACAUCUAAGUACCCCGAGGAAAAGAAAUCAACCGAGAUUCCCCCAGUAGCGGCGAGCGAACGGGGAGCAGCCCAGAGCCUGAAUCAGUGUGUGUGUUAGUGGAAGCGUCUGGAAAGGCGUGCGAUACAGGGUGACAGCCCCGUACACAAAAAUGCACAUACUGUGAGCUCGAUGAGUAGGGCGGGACACGUGGUAUCCUGUCUGAAUAUGGGGGGACCAUCCUCCAAGGCUAAAUACUCCUGACUGACCGAUAGUGAACCAGUACCGUGAGGGAAAGGCGAAAAGAACCCCGGCGAGGGGAGUGAAAAAGAACCUGAAACCGUGUACGUACAAGCAGUGGGAGCACGCUUAGGCGUGUGACUGCGUACCUUUUGUAUAAUGGGUCAGCGACUUAUAUUCUGUAGCAAGGUUAACCGAAUAGGGGAGCCGAAGGGAAACCGAGUCUUAACUGGGCGUUAAGUUGCAGGGUAUAGACCCGAAACCCGGUGAUCUAGCCAUGGGCAGGUUGAAGGUUGGGUAACACUAACUGGAGGACCGAACCGACUAAUGUUGAAAAAUUAGCGGAUGACUUGUGGCUGGGGGUGAAAGGCCAAUCAAACCGGGAGAUAGCUGGUUCUCCCCGAAAGCUAUUUAGGUAGCGCCUCGUGAAUUCAUCUCCGGGGGUAGAGCACUGUUUCGGCAAGGGGGUCAUCCCGACUUACCAACCCGAUGCAAACUGCGAAUACCGGAGAAUGUUAUUACGGGAGACACACGGCGGGUGCUAACGUCCGUCGUGAAGAGGGAAACAACCCAGACCGCCAGCUAAGGUCCCAAAGUCAUGGUUAAGUGGGAAACGAUGUGGGAAGGCCCAGACAGCCAGGAUGUUGGCUUAGAAGCAGCCAUCAUUUAAAGAAAGCGUAAUAGCUCACUGGUCGAGUCGGCCUGCGCGGAAGAUGUAACGGGGCUAAACCAUGCACCGAAGCUGCGGCAGCGACGCUUAUGCGUUGUUGGGUAGGGGAGCGUUCUGUAAGCCUGUGAAGGUGUGCUGUGAGGUAUGCUGGAGGUAUCAGAAGUGCGAAUGCUGACAUAAGUAACGAUAAAGCGGGUGAAAAGCCCGCUCGCCGGAAGACCAAGGGUUCCUGUCCAACGUUAAUCGGGGCAGGGUGAGUCGACCCCUAAGGCGAGGCCGAAAGGCGUAGUCGAUGGGAAACAGGUUAAUAUUCCUGUACUUGGUGUUACUGCGAAGGGGGGACGGAGAAGGCUAUGUUGGCCGGGCGACGGUUGUCCCGGUUUAAGCGUGUAGGCUGGUUUUCCAGGCAAAUCCGGAAAAUCAAGGCCGAGGCGUGAUGACGAGGCACUACGGUGCUGAAGCAACAAAUGCCCUGCUUCCAGGAAAAGCCUCUAAGCAUCAGGUAACAUCAAAUCGUACCCCAAACCGACACAGGUGGUCAGGUAGAGAAUACCAAGGCGCUUGAGAGAACUCGGGUGAAGGAACUAGGCAAAAUGGUGCCGUAACUUCGGGAGAAGGCACGCUGAUACGUAGGUGAAGCGACUUGCUCGUGGAGCUGAAAUCAGUCGAAGAUACCAGCUGGCUGCAACUGUUUAUUAAAAACACAGCACUGUGCAAACACGAAAGUGGACGUAUACGGUGUGACGCCUGCCCGGUGCCGGAAGGUUAAUUGAUGGGGUUAGCGCAAGCGAAGCUCUUGAUCGAAGCCCCGGUAAACGGCGGCCGUAACUAUAACGGUCCUAAGGUAGCGAAAUUCCUUGUCGGGUAAGUUCCGACCUGCACGAAUGGCGUAAUGAUGGCCAGGCUGUCUCCACCCGAGACUCAGUGAAAUUGAACUCGCUGUGAAGAUGCAGUGUACCCGCGGCAAGACGGAAAGACCCCGUGAACCUUUACUAUAGCUUGACACUGAACAUUGAGCCUUGAUGUGUAGGAUAGGUGGGAGGCUUUGAAGUGUGGACGCCAGUCUGCAUGGAGCCGACCUUGAAAUACCACCCUUUAAUGUUUGAUGUUCUAACGUGGACCCGUGAUCCGGGUUGCGGACAGUGUCUGGUGGGUAGUUUGACUGGGGCGGUCUCCUCCUAAAGAGUAACGGAGGAGCACGAAGGUUGGCUAAUCCUGGUCGGACAUCAGGAGGUUAGUGCAAUGGCAUAAGCCAGCUUGACUGCGAGCGUGACGGCGCGAGCAGGUGCGAAAGCAGGUCAUAGUGAUCCGGUGGUUCUGAAUGGAAGGGCCAUCGCUCAACGGAUAAAAGGUACUCCGGGGAUAACAGGCUGAUACCGCCCAAGAGUUCAUAUCGACGGCGGUGUUUGGCACCUCGAUGUCGGCUCAUCACAUCCUGGGGCUGAAGUAGGUCCCAAGGGUAUGGCUGUUCGCCAUUUAAAGUGGUACGCGAGCUGGGUUUAGAACGUCGUGAGACAGUUCGGUCCCUAUCUGCCGUGGGCGCUGGAGAACUGAGGGGGGCUGCUCCUAGUACGAGAGGACCGGAGUGGACGCAUCACUGGUGUUCGGGUUGUCAUGCCAAUGGCACUGCCCGGUAGCUAAAUGCGGAAGAGAUAAGUGCUGAAAGCAUCUAAGCACGAAACUUGCCCCGAGAUGAGUUCUCCCUGACCCUUUAAGGGUCCUGAAGGAACGUUGAAGACGACGACGUUGAUAGGCCGGGUGUGUAAGCGCAGCGAUGCGUUGAGCUAACCGGUACUAAUGAACCGUGAGGCUUAACCUUACAACGCCGAAG